ACGGGGCCCGCACAAGCGGUGGAGUAUGUGGUUUAAUUCGACGCAACGCGCAGAACCUUACCUAGACUUGACAUCCCGGGGAUUUUCUGGAAACAGAGAAGUGCUUUAGCAAUAAAGAACCCGGUGACAGGUGCUGCAUGGCUGUCGUCAGCUCGUGUCGUGAGAUGUUGGGUUAAGUCCCGCAACGAGCGCAACCCUCGCCUUUAGUUGCCAGCAUUCAGUUGGGCACUCUAGAGGGACUGCCGGUGUCAAACCGGAGGAAGGUGGGAUGACGUCAAGUCCUCAUGGCCUUUAUGUCUAGGGCUACACACGUACUACAAUGGCCGGUACAAAGGGCAGCCACUCAGCGAUGAGGCGCUAAUCCCAUAAAGCCGGUCUCAGUCCGGAUCGCAGUCUGCAACUCGACUGCGUGAAGUUGGAAUCGCUAGUAAUCGUGGAUCAGCAUGCCACGGUGAAUACGUUCCCGGGCCUU
rnacentral:rRNA from 1 species